AGAGAUGCUUUGGUGCCUUCGGGAACUCUGAGACAGGUGCUGCAUGGCUGUCGUCAGCUCGUGUUGUGAAAUGUUGGGUUAAGUCCCGCAACGAGCGCAACCCUUAUCCUUUGUUGCCAGCGGUUCGGCCGGGAACUCAAAGGAGACUGCCAGUGAUAAACUGGAGGAAGGUGGGGAUGACGUCAAGUCAUCAUGGCCCUUACGAGUAGGGCUACACACGUGCUACAAUGGCGUAUACAAAGAGAAGCGACCUCGCGAGAGCAAGCGGACCUCAUAAAGUACGUCGUAGUCCGGAUUGGAGUCUGCAACUCGACUCCAUGAAGUCGGAAUCGCUAGUAAUCGUAGAUCAGAAUGCUACGGUGAAUACGUUCCCGGGCCUUGUACACACCGCCCGUCACACCAUGGGAGUGGGUUGCAAAAGAAGUAGGUAGCUUAACCUUCGGGAGGGCGCUUACCACUUUGUGAUUCAUGACUGGGGUGAAGUCGUAACAAGGAAACCCGUAA
rnacentral:rRNA from 1 species